rnacentral:rRNA from 1 species
CCCUUAGAUGUCCUGGGCCGCACGCGCGCUACACUGAUGCAUUCAACGAGUUUUACCUUGGCCGAGAGGCCUGGGCAAUCUUUUGAACCUGCAUCGUGAUAGGGAUAGAUUAUUGCAAUUAUUAAUCUUGAACGAGGAAUUCCUAGUAAACGCAGAUCAUCAAUCUGCAUUGAUUACGUCCCUGCCCUUUGUACACACCGCCCGUCGCUCCUACCGAUUGAAUGGUCCGGUGAAAAUUUCGGAUAGUGACGAUGCUGGCGGUUCGCCGCCGGCGCUGUCGCUAGAAGAUCUUUAAACCUUAUCAUUUAGAGGAAGGAGAAGUCGUANCA